GAUGAACGCUGGCGGCGUGCUUAACACAUGCAAGUCGAACGAUGAAGCCGGAGCUUGCUCUGGUGGAUUAGUGGCGAACGGGUGAGUAACACGUGAGUAACCUGCCCUUGACUCUGGGAUAAGCGCUGGAAACGGCGUCUAAUACCGGAUACGAGCUUCCACCGCAUGGUGAGUUGCUGGAAAGAAUUUCGGUCAAGGAUGGACUCGCGGCCUAUCAGCUUGUUGGUGAGGUAACGGCUCACCAAGGCGACGACGGGUAGCCGGCCUGAGAGGGUGACCGGGCAAACUGGGGCUGAGGCACGGCCCAGAGUCCUACGGGAGGCAGCAAUGGGGAAUAUUGCAAAAUGGGCGCAAGCCUGAUGCAGCAACGCCGCGUGAGGGACGAAGGCCUUCGGGUCGUAAACCUCUUUUAGCAGGGAAGAAGCGAAAGUGACGGUACCUGCAGAAAAAGCACCGGCUAACUACGUGCCAGCCGCCGCCGUAA
rnacentral:rRNA from 1 species